UCUGGCACAUGAUUUAAAAAA
ensembl:piRNA 21ur-2547 ncRNA